rnacentral:rRNA from 1 species
GUGCAGCCACCUAACAUAGAAGCUUACGUUCUGCCAAGGCUAGAGAUGCGCUUUGAAACUUUCAAAGAAGCAAAGGACUUCUACAACGUCUAUGCAAAACACGCGGGGUUUGCUGUCAGGGAAGGCUCAAAGGUUAAGACCAGAGUCUACCUUUAUUGCACGUGCUAUGGAGUCUAUGAGUCGAAGGUGUCAGAAGCAAAUAGACAACAGAACAAGACGACAACCAGGACUAACUGCGGGGCUAAAAUGAGGCUGAAGAAGGAAAAGGACGGAACACUUGUCCUAAAAGAGAUAGUCUGGGAACACAACCACAGGCUACAGCUCACCCCCUCAAAUGCUUGUCUUCUUGCACUCCCACAAAAACUUGACAAAACAAUCUUGGAGUACGUCAAGUACCUGCAGUUCAAAGGCAUUGAACACGCGCAAAUCAUGAGCAUACUGGGCGGCGAUGACCCCGGUAGCUACUUCCUCGAAAUGAAUGCGAAAGACCUGAUUAACCUCAAAGCAAAGAAUUCAAGGAUGGAUGAUGUGAAUGAUGUCCUAAAGACUGCCAACUUCUUCAGGGAGAUGAAAGCUAUAAACAGGGAAUUCUUCUGUGACAUGCAACUUGAUGAGUCCGAUAGAGUUAAGAACAUAUUCUGGGCGAACGCAAGCUGCCGAGGGGCGUAUCAGGACUUUGGUGACUGUGUAACGUUUGACACCACAUAUAAGACCAACAAGUACCAUAUGCCACUUGGGGUGUUUGUGGGUACUAACAACCACUUACAGACUACAUUCUUUGGUUACGCCCUGAUAAGAGAUGAGGAUGCAGAUUCAUUCAGAUGGUUGUUCAAGACAUUUUUAAGGUGCAUGAGAGGGAAGGCUCCUACAUGCAUCCUCACAGACCAGUGCCCGACAAUGGCUUUGGCGAUCCCAGAUGCUUUCAAGAACACAGUACACAAGCUGUGCCGCCGGCACAUUAUGAAGAAGUACAGGGAACACCUCGCAUACCUGUACAACCUGCACAAAGACUUUAAGGAUGAAUUCACAUCAAUCCUCAACUGGCCCCUCAUGCCAACUGAGUUUGAGGCUGCUUGGAAAGGACUCACGGAUAGGUACAACCUCCAUGAUGAUGCCACGAUGGUGGCCAUGCGGAACGAGUGUGAGAGAUGGAUAUCAGCCUACUUCAAAGAAAUUUUCUACGCCAAAAUGACAUCCACACAACAAAGUGAGACCAUGAACUAUGUGCUUAGAGGAACUUUGUAA